UUGGAGGGCAAGUCUGGUGCCAGCAGCCGCGGUAAUUCCAGCUCCAAUAGCGUAUAUUAAAGUUGUUGCAGUUAAAAAGCUCGUAGUUGAAUUUCGGAAUAAGCAGGUCGGUCGUGCCACAGGUAUGUACUGGUCUUGCUGAUUCCUCCCUCUUGACGAGCUGUAAUGCCAUUAAUUUGGUGUUGCGGGGAAUCAGGACUGUUACUUUGAAAAAUUAGAGUGUUUAAAGCAGGCUUACGCUUGAAUACAUUAGCAUGGAAUAAUGAAAUAGGACGUUCGAUCCUAUUUUGUUGGUUUCUAGGAUUGACGUAAUGAUUAAUAGGGAUAGUUGGGGGCAUUAGUAUUCAAUUGUCAGAGGUGAAAUUCUUGGAUUUAUUGAAGACUAACUACUGCGAAAGCAUUUGCCAAGGAUGUUUUCAUUAAUCAAGAACGAAAGUUAGGAGAUCGAAGACGAUCAGAUACCGUCGUAGUCUUAACCAUAAACUACGCCGACUAGGGAUCGGAUGAUGUUAAUUUUUAAUGACUCAUUCGGC
rnacentral:rRNA from 1 species